UGGGGAAUAUUGCACAAUGGGGGAAACCCUGAUGCAGCGACGCCGCGUGAACGAAGAAGGUAUUCGUAUCGUAAAGUUCUGUCCUAUGGGAAGAUAAUGACAGUACCAUAGAAGAAAGCUCCGGCUAAAUACGUGCCAGCAGCCGCGGUAAUACGUAUGGAGCGAGCGUUGUCCGGAAUUAUUGGGCGUAAAGGGUACGCAGGCGGUUUAAUAAGUCGAAUGUUAAAGAUCGGGGCUCAACCCCGUAAAGCAUUGGAAACUGAUAAACUUGAGUAGUGGAGAGGAAAGUGGAAUUCCUAGUGUAGUGGUGAAAUACGUAGAUAUUAGGAGGAAUACCAGUAGCGAAGGCGACUUUCUGGACACAAACUGACGCUGAGGUACGAAAGCGUGGGGAGCGAACAGG
rnacentral:rRNA from 2 species